rnacentral:misc_RNA from 1 species
CACACACGAUACGAGUGCGAGGGGCAUAUCAGCAAAGGUGAAAACCAGCUCACCUACCUUGGAGUGCGCGCGUUUCGCUUACAUCUCUGAGCACAUUUCGCGCAUCGGUGUGGCGCGUAGCGACGAAAAGGCCUCUCGUCUAGCGCGCCGCCGUCGUGAUUCUACACAUCCAUGCUCCCUGCCUCCGUCCGUCUUGUGCCUCUGUCUAGAAAGCGAACGACGCUGUGGGGUCGGCCAUCAGAGGAAACCUGCGUUGCGCAUAGUUGCCCUCUCCUAUGUAAAGCACCCGUCCCUCCGGUUCCCCAUCAUCGUUGUUCUGUUUAUAUUCGUUUGUGUCUGUGCGCGUUACUUUCGUAUUCGCGUUUGCUUCAGAAACGUGCUGCAGGGCAGGAGGGAUGGACUGCGAAGAGUACCAGCCAGACGCGACUUAUCUCCCUCUCUGUUUUUUUUUUUGUUUUCUUAGCUUCUACACGUCCGUCACCUCCUCGGCGUCUCUCAUCCAUCGUCUUACGAGCGCGUUGAAGUUGCCUCGGUCUUUGUUGUGUGUCUUCUUCACCUCGUGUGUGUGUGUGCUCCGUCGCAUAGUGCGCUUCCGCUUCCUCCGCUCUCGCUCCCAGGUGGCAGUGUUGUUUCUGCGCCAGCGCUCUCUUGUAUGACAGGCAAUUCACUUUCCAAGACCAUAUCCGGACCCUCCUCUUCCCCCAUUCCCUGGAUUGCGCACGGUGAAAUGAGCGCGACAAGAGUCUGUGUGCACUCCCUCCCCCCCACACACACACGCUCGCCCGUUUUUUUAUCACGUGCGUCACUCUCUUGGACCACGUCUGCGGAAGGCAGUGUACACAUCCGCGCAUGUGCACAAACGCAUACAUAGAGAGAGAAAGGAGGGUUGGAUGAUACGAGGGCUUCCUCGGUGUGCAAAAGCGCCUCGCCGGCACGUCUAACGAUCCUCACUCCUUCGACGUCCCUAUCACACAAACUCUUUUCUCGCAACGGUGCCGAACUGAAAUUUUUACGGAACUGUACUGCAUAGGCAAUGUAACGCUAGUAGGACAACGACAGUCGAAGCGUGGAAAAGAUAGGACGGACACCCAAGAAG